CUUUCCAGUUCGUGGCACGCCAGGGCAUUUCGCCCCAGCAGCUGUGCACCUGGCAGAUGAGCUUGGUAAGGUCGCUGGACCACCAGGCUGGCGGGUUCUGGCGGACUUCGCGAAGGUUGUGCGGGCAACAGGGCAGGAGUGCUUCGUGGGCAUCAGGGACUCCACUGGGAACACACCAAUGGCUGACUGCAUGGCUGGGAGCUGAAAUCAUCAGAGGUUACUGCACUCACUUUCUGGCAUCUGCGAUGGGAUGACUCAAGGUCAGGAUUCAAGAGGAAGGCAACAGUCUGCCAUCUGGGUGAGGAUUCUUAGCAGAAUCUGACUGUGCUUCCAGCCUCUAGAACUGGCUCAUGGAUUUUUUUGGAAAUUAGGUAUGGCAAGUCAGGGUUACAUACAACAAGCAGUGUUUGGAGACCAGCUCUUUAAAAAGGGUGACCAUAUGCUUUUGGUGGCCAUGUUAAUAAUUAGAAGCCUGCACAAAACUAGAAUUGUUUUGUAAGUCAUUUUUGAUGAUGUUUGCACUUAUGUAAAAAAAAAAAUCUGUAAAAUAUAUAGAGUAUUAGAAUUCAAGGUGUCUUCUUUUCUUCAUAUUAAGAAACAUUACUGACCUUUUUUUAAAACUCAUUUUGCACUUUUUUAUUUGUUUUAAAUUAUUGAAGUGUGUUCAGCUGUAAAUAGAUGAUGUUUUCUGCUGGUAAGUGCUGUGGGGAGGACAGAUAUUCCUAAAGAUUGAAU